rnacentral:misc_RNA from 1 species
UGCUUCAGUUCCUGUCUUAAGUUC